AAGAUUUACAAAUAAGUCAACAUGACCAAAAUGGUCAGUUGACCCCUUUAGGAGUUAUUGCCCUUUAUAGUCAUUUUUUACCACUUUUUCAUAGUAUUUUGUAAUCUUUUACAAAAAUCGUCUCCUCUGAAAUUACUGGACCAAGUUCAACCAAACUUGGCCACAAUUAUCAUUGGAGUAUCUAGUUUAAAAAAUGUGUGGGGUGACCGGGCCAACCAACCAAGAUGGUGGCUAUGACUAAAAAUAGAACAUAGGGGUAAAAUGUAGAUUUUGGCUUAUAAUUCUGAAACCAAAGCAUUUAGAGCAAAUCUGACUGGGUUAAAUUGUUAAUCAAGUCAAGAUCUAUCUGCCCUGAAAUUUUCAGACGAAUCAGACAACUGGUUGUUGGAUUGCUGCCCCUCAAUUGGUAAUUUUUAAAGAAAUUUUACCGUUUUUGGUUAUUAUCUUGAAUAUUUUUAUAGAUAGAGAUAAACUGUAAACAUCAAUAAAGUUCAGCAGAGUCAGAUCUACAAAUAGGUCAACAUGACCAAAAUUGUCAGUUGACUCCUUAAGGAGUUAUUGCCCUUUAUAGUCAAUUUACAAAAUAUUUUCCUCUGUUACUAAUGGGCCAAGUUCAUUGUAGAUAGAGAUAAUUGUAAGUAGCAAGAACGUUCAGUAAAGUAAGAACUUCAAACACAUCACCAUCUGACACCAAAAGACAAUUUUGUCAUGAAUCCAUCUAUGUCCUUUGUUUAAUAUGGACAAACACCAAGGUGAGCGACACAGGCUCUUUA
rnacentral:lncRNA from 1 species